rnacentral:rRNA from 1 species
UACGGAGGGUGCAAGCGUCGUCCGGAACCACUGGGCGUAAAGGGCGCGUAGGCGGCCUGGUAAGUCGGGGGUGAAAUCCUGCGGCUUAACCGCAGGGCUGCCUUCUAAACUGUCAGGCUUGAGCACGGUAGAGGCAGAUGGAAUUCCCGGUGUAGCGGUGGAAUGCGUAGAGAUCGGGAAGAACAUCAGUGGCGAAGGCGGUCUGCUGGGCCGUUGCUGACGCUGAGGCGCGACAGCGUGGGGAGCAAACAGG